UUAAAAUUCUCUUAAAAAAUUAAAAAAUAAAAAGUUCCUUCUGUCUGAGAUUUGACACGUUGUGGAAUACUUGACACAUCAAGACUCUUCCCAGUGAACUGCAGUCGUCAGUAGUUUGUUCAAAGUGAGAAAGUGAGCCAAAGGUAAGAUUUGGUAACCUGGUAACAGCUGCCAUCAUGACAUCACAGCACACAGCCUAUUAUGAGUUUGUGGUGAUGGUGGUGCUACAAAACAAACAAACAAACAAAAAACCUACUACGCUGCCAAUCACAUCAUCCCUGACCAACGGUCACCCUCCCGAGCUGCCCGAGCUGCGUCGGUCUGCGGUACCGCUACAGCCAGGCUGCCUGCCACGAGCCCUGGGCAGAGGCUCCGGCGGAGGGAUCCGCAGACGCUAAGGUCUCGGAAGAAGAGACAGCUACUGCGGCAGCACAAAAAGAGCGGCGACAGGGUGAUGCGCCAACCGAUGUGAAGGCAGAUAGUGUCCACGGUGGCUGGCCCGGAAGCUGAGUGGGCCUCGGCCCUCAGCGUAUUCUGCCAGGGCCAGGCCAGAACUGCCUGCCUCCUCUUCUGCGGCUGAUCCAAAACCAACAAGGCAGCCACAGGCCGUCGGUGCCUGCCGCCUUCCACCAGGGGCCCGCCAAGACAACCUUCCACCAUGGCUUUGAAGAGAAUCCACAAGGAACUGAACGACCUGGCGCAGGAUCCCCCAGCACAGUGUUCAGCAGGUCCUGUCGGGGAAGAUAUGUUCCAUUGGCAAGCUACAAUCAUGGGGCCAAAUGACAGUCCCUACCAGGGUGGAGCAUUUUUCUUGACAAUUGAUUUCCCAACAGAGUACCCCUUCAAACCACCUAAGGUUGAAUUUACAACAAGAAUUUAUCAUCCAAAUGUUAACAGUAAUGGCAGCAUUUGUCUUGAUAUUCUUCGGUCACAGUGGUCUCCAGCACUAACUAUUUCAAAAGUACUUUUGUCCAUCAGUUCUCUGUUGUGUGAUCCCAAUCCCGAUGAUCCCUUAGUGCCUGAGAUUGCUCAGAUCUACAAAACAGAUAGAGACAAGUACAACAGAACAGCUCGGGAAUGGACUCAGAAGUAUGCCAUGUGACUAAAGAGAUUAUUGGAUCCUCUGCGAAUAAAAGCUAGGGGAACUCUGAAAGAGAAAGUCCUUUUGAUUCCCACUUGACUGUUUGCUGUGAACCCACGAUGUACCGGCCUCGUCCUCCCUGGUGCACGGUCUUCAUCUGAUACAGUACUGUUGCAUGUUGCACGCACCAAAAAUACUGUGUUUCUGUACCAACACUGUCUCCUAGCAGACGAGCCUUCUCCAGGCAUAACCUAGGUGUGAGAUUAAAAGUUUUCCUUAUUGACUUAAAUCUGGAUAACAAGGUGUGAGUGAGGGUGGUGGGUACAAGAUACUGCUCAGAAGGGGUAAAGGUCCCCAACCUAUAAGACAAUGAGAUGGCUUUUCAGUGGAAGCCAUUUACAGCUAAAUGUUUAAAUGAAUGAAAAGCUAGGUGAAGAACAUGAAUGUUCCUGUACUCAUUUUAUUCCAAAAGACCUAGAGCUUAAAUGAACAUUAAAACCAACCAGACUAAGCCAACCCACCUCCUGUAUUUUAAAGUCUAAUUGGUCAACAAAAAUAGAUCGGCACUAUCGGUCCAUAAAGUGUGCCUGGCUUUGUUCCCAAAUCCUUUAUACACGGAUGACUCAACCUAUUUUCUUUCACACUUUCUCUCCAUAUUCUUUGGUUUACUUGCGGUUUCUCAGUUGAUUCAUCACUAAUAGCUCUUAUUUUUAUUAUAUUAACUGCUUAAUCUAUUUGGAUGUAAAGGUAGACAUUCAACUUGAUGAAAAAAGCUUGUGUAUAGAGACCUAAUUGCUCCUCUGGAGCUUGUACAGUCAAGAAUGAUGCAUCUGUGUAAUAAACCAAUUAUUCUAGCCAUUACAUAAA
rnacentral:lncRNA from 1 species